AAUACAUGAAAUCGUACUCUCUGUUUAAUUAUAAAAUAUAAUAUAAUUUAAGGAAUUUAAAUUUGUAUCUCUCUCUAAGUUAUUAUCCAGUAAUUUACAUUUUAUAUACGAAAGAGACAUAAGGAACAAGCCAUAGUUAAUUAAAUGUAUUUUAAAGAACAAAGAAAUAAUUCCACUUAUUAAAGCAUAAUUUGUCUACGAAAUUUGGUAAUUUAUUUUAUAAUCAUUCUGUAUGCAUAUACAAGGUGAAUCGAUGUUUGUGUCUGAAAUAUUUUUGUUAUUUUUAAUGAUAUAUGAAAACUUUUAACGAUAAAUCGCACGAUGUAGAAAAGAAUAUACCCACAGAUCUAUAACUAUAACAAUUCAAAAUGAUGUCAAAAGAUAUGAAAAUACUUGACACUUCUUUAUGUGAAACUAUAUGAAUUUUCGUACCUAAAUUUUUUCAUUAUUCAUUAUUUACAUAAAAUAUUUCAACUGAUAUAAGAAGUACGUUUGAAUAAAGAUUUGGUUACAAAUAAUUUAGUCGCCUGCGUAAAAACGGCACUUUUUAUCGAUUAAGAUAUGACCUUAUUAAGAUUGAAAUAAUCGAAUACGUUAAACUAAAAUACGACGCGUGCGUUGCGCUCACCGUUUAUCCCCGUUUAAUCUUCAAAAACUCCACGUGCAAAAAAUUGAAGUAAUUUUCAUACACUGUGUUAAUCUUAGGAAUUCUUAUAUUUCUUGAAGACAACAAAAUUGUUUCAGAUGCAACGUUUAGAGAUGAUGAAUCACUCUGUAUAGAUACAUGAGGUAUGUACACACUCGCGCGUACGUAAAUAUACUUUAAAAGAAAUAUAUAUAAAUAUAUAAUUUAUUAUAAUGAUUGUAUAAAUAAAGUAUACAAACUAAAUUGCAGUAAUGCCACGUUAUUAUCACACCUAUGGAAGAUUGUGAAAUGUAAAAUUUGUAAAUAAGCCUAUUUGAAAAUAUAAAUAGUGAAUCAUUUCUUCAUCGAGUUGUGAAUCUUCCCAAGCUCUUAAAAGAGGUUUCAAGAAUACAAUAAGGAAGAUAUGCAGAAAUUAUAAAAAUACCUUUAUUUUUUUCUUCACUACAAACUUUACAAUGUUAUUAGUAACGUAUUAAUUUGUGUUAUUAUACAAUUUCAUUAGAAAUAGAACUGAGUAUUUAACAAACGAAUACUUUAUCAAAUUGAUAGAGGUAAAGGUAAGAGUGGCAAAUAAAAAUCACAAAAUUUUUCUUCUCACAAUGCGAAUUGUAUGUACAUAAUAUAUUACCGUCUAUUCAAUAUUAACAUUUAGUCGCGAAAAUAUUACUAAACAUACAUUAACACACUCAUAUAACUCGUUUUACAAUAUUAUAAAUUAAUACAAAUUAUUCCCAUCGUUGUACGUUACUUGCACAUAUUUUAUUCCGCAUUACUUUAUAUGCAAUUCAAUUUUUUUUCUGUUCUAAUAUACUUUGUCACAUUUGAAAGAAAACUCUCUUCUGAAAACUAUUUUCAAUCUUGUCUGGAUUUUAAACACACUUUAAUAUCAUGUUGAACAAAAUCGUUGUUAUUUAAAAUAAAUUAGUUUGUCGGACUAGUGUUUCUACUUCCCUUUACAUUUUGUUUUGUACAUGAAGUAAACUUUAUAUGUGUAUUAUCUUACAUCAUUGAUUUAAUGUAUAAAUUAUUAAAGCUCGUACAUAUAUAUUGUGGACCUACAUCCUAAAAUUUACUCGUUCGUGGCAGUUUUGCGCAAGACCGGUACCAAAGCAGAUUUGAAUAAUCACGGAAACCAGAAGAAUCCUAAUAACCCAAAAUAUAAACCCGGUACCAAAGCAGAUUUGGAUAAUCACGGAAACCAGAAGAAUCCUAAUAACCAAAUAACAAAAUAUAUGAAAGCCAAAAAGUAAACAUGUAUUCAUGUCUUACAAAAAUGGCAUUGUACUUGUAAUAUACGUGCCUUAAAUAUAUGUGACAUGAUAUUUUAAUAUUGUAAAA